GUGAAAUGGAGAUUGCCGUGAGAAUACUGUAGGAGCUGGCAGUCAUUUUUCAGUUCACACCUGCUGUGCAGUGAGGCUGAGCCGCGGGAAUGUAAGACGGAGCUGCCGGAUCGGGAGCAGAAAGGAAGAAAUUCAGAAAGGUCGGCCAUAAAGGUGGGCAAGCUGAGGGAGUAUGACACUUGUGAACAAGACAUGGGAAGUCGUCUUUGUCCCUGUUAACUCAGGACAGUGGCAUGGCUCUGCUCCUCCUCACCUCCUGUCCGUGUCCUUCCGCGACCCUGGCGGAAUACUGUGGGACUUUGCAUCACGCCUCCUCUCAACCUCAAGAUAAAUUUUUUACUGUUUUAAAAA